UCUAUAAAAUACUGGAAUAAAUGUUCUUCUUGUACAAAAUUGCUUAUGAAGUUUUUAUAAUUGUAAUAUAUAAAUGUUAGAUGUAUAGGAAAAUACAGAUUAUAAACAAACUGUAAUCAUUUUAUUUUUGGUGUAUCUCUUUUAUAUUUGGUGUAUCUCUUUCUGUAUUUGUGUAUAUAUGUAUUUUUAUUUUUUAAUUUUAAUUUUAUUUUUAUUUCUGUAGAGACAGGUUCCCACUUUGUUGCCCAGGCUGGUCUCGAACUCCUGGCCUCAAGCAAUCCUAUUGCCUUGGCAUCCCAAAGUGUUGGGAUUACAGGCGUGAACCACCACACCUGGCCUGUAUUUUUAUAUAUGGUUGUAUAUUUAUACAAAUAAACAUAUAUAUGCAUAUUUGCUUAGCUUAUGUAAAUACACGGUAUGAUGUACAUGUAUAUCGAUUUCUGUAUUACGUAUGUAUUACAUAAAGGUCAUACUACAUUUCCAAUGUUUCUUUAAUGUAAACAAUAUUAACAAACUUCAUUUGAGCACAACUAUAUGUUUAUAAUAAUACUUUCAAUGACAACUACUGACAUUUAUUGAAUGAUACAACUAUGUGUCAGGCUAGUUUUAAGCAUUUUAAUGUAUUAACUCAUUUAAUUCUCAUAAUAAUCUACGUCCUCAUAAUAAUCUAUCAUUUUAUAGACGAAAAAACUAAGGUAUGGUGAGGUUUACUUACCCAAAGUCAAAAAGUAAGUAGUGUACCUGGGAUUCAAACCUAGGCAGUCUGAAUCUGAUUAUUUCCUUAAUAUAAAGUAGAAUUUAAGUUGAGGGAACCAAAGAGCAUGUCUUAAAUAUCUGUACUUACAUAUAGUGUAUAUAGUAUACACUGUCCUCCAGAAAUGAGGUACUGAUUACCAAUUCUCCUAACACUGAGAAUGAAUUUAAGAUUAAAAAGUGUAUGAACACACAUUUUCUGUAGUUUUUUUUAAAAAUAAAACUUACAUAUGUGCAGUAUAGAAAAUUAAGGUAGAAGCUAGGUGUAGUGGCUCAUGCCUCUUAUCUCAGCACUUGGGGAGGCCGAGGCGGGCGGAUCACCUGUGGUCAGGAGUUUGAGACCAGCCUGAGAAAUCCUGUCUCUACUAAAACUACAAAAAUUAGCCAGGCAUGGUGGCACACAGCUGUAAUCCCAGCUACUUGGGAGGCUGAGGCAGGAGAAUCGCCUGAACCAAGGAGGCGGAGGUUGCAGGGAGCUGAGAUCGCACCUGCACUCUCCACAGAGCGAGGCUCCAUCUCAAAAAAAAAAAAAAAAAAAAAGAAUAUUAACAUAGAGACUUAACCAUUUAUCUCACUGAAAUAUGACUACUAUGUAUGUUAUAUACUUUCAAAUUUCUUUUCUGUAUAAUUUAGCACACCUAUACACAUACACACCCAGGCAUAUUUUCUAGAAGUAAUACUGGCAAAAACAAUAAAAAUAAGGCUUUUCUUUUUAUUGUCAAAUUUUGGGGGAAAUUAAGCUAAUAUGAACCCUCCACAGUAUCUGAGUACUUAUUUUUUCCUGACCUAAUACUAUAUCCAUGUAAGUAUACCUUUUAUAAGGUAAAGAAAUGGCAUCUCAUUAUUGUUUUAAUAUGCAUUUUCCUUAAUAUAUAUUUAGUAGCCAUGUGCAUGUCUACUUUUGCAUAAAUUUUUAUUUUUGCUUUUGAAUUUCAUUUAUGGUGAUUUCCAGGCAUCCAGAAAGUUUGAGCCUUUGUAUAAUAAAAUCAUAAGUUGAUUUUUUUUUCUUCAUAGUUUCUUCAUUUGCUUUUGGCUUACAAAUAUAGUCCCAAUCCACAUUAUUAAAUAAAUUCAUCUACAUUUUGUUUUACCAAUUUUAUGAAUUAAAUUUUUUUCAUUAUAAUAUACAAUCCAGCUUGACUUUAUUUUCACAUGUGGUGUGAGAUAGGCAUCUAAUAAUUUUCAUAACAUUUUCUCCUCCAUGUAUUUUCCAACCUGAAUAUACAUCUAUUUUUAUAUAUUCUAUUUUCUUAUGACAGAUUAUUACAAGAAGUUGAAUUUCUGCAUAAAGAUGGGUAUAUUAGGUUUGAGAUGUCCAUUGGACAUAAAGAGAUAAUAGAAAGGCAACAGGAUAUUAUGAUGAGUCUUUCAAAUAUUUGUUAGCUAUUCUUAGACAUUUAUCCUUCGUUACUUUUUUUUUUUUUUAAGAGACAGGGUCUCACUAUGUUGUUCAGGGGCUGGAGUGCAGUGGUGCAAUCAUAGCUCACUGUAGCCUUGAACUCCUGGCUCAAGCAAUCCUUCCACUUCAGCCUCCCAAGUAGCUAGGACUACAGGUGUUUGCCACCAUGCCCAACUAAUUCUUAAAAUUUUUUUUUGUAGAGACAAGCUGUGUUGCCCAGGGUAGUCGUGAACUCCUGGGCUUAAGCAAUCCUCCAGCAUCAGCCUCCCAAAAGCGCUGGAAUUACAGGAACAGCAAAGCAAAGAGUGGACCUGAAGUGAUAUCUUUGAAUUUUGGAGGAAAAAAAACAAACCUAAAGAGAUGGUUUUAUUUUUCCUAAAUAUCCAGAAUGAAAAUCUAUACUGAAAAAUGAAAAUCUAUACUGAAAGCCAAAAUUGGAUGACUCUUUACCAUACUUCCAAAUAUGAAACACUGUAUUCAUUCUGCCUCCAAAUUCUACACUCCAGUAUCCAACCAAUUCAGAGUGAGCUGUCCGAAGAUGAGCGUUUUUCUUAAAAUUUUCCAGGAACUCAUUCAUCUUUGAGGGCUUAAGGUAAUAAGAACGAAAUUCAUAGAAUGUUCCAUCGUAUUGUCUGGGUCCCGUAGCAAAAGAUGAGCACACCUGAAGAAGAUAAGACAAAUGUAAAUAUCUUCAGAAGACAGGAUUCAUAUAUUGUGUUAAAACCUAAUCUGAAUCUGGUACAAGGGACACUCAUAGACUCAUUACUCAUGUUUGUACUUCUGUUGUCAAUUCUCAAUAUAUUACUGAUGGAGGGUGUCCAGGUUCUUGGUGUUUGAACAAAGAACUGGACAAAAUGCAUAAAGCAAGGAAAGAAUGAAGUAACAAAAGCAGAGAUUUAUUGAAAAUGAAAGCACACUCCACAGGGUAGGAGUGGGCCUGAGCAAGUGGCUCAAGGGCCCUGGUUACGUAAUUUUCUAGGGUUUCAGUACCCUCUAGAGGUGUCCCAUUGGCUACUUGGUGUAAGCCGUAUAUAAAUGAAGAGGAUGAAGUAAAGUUGCAAAGUCAUUUACUCUUGUGUACACCCUAUGUAAAUGAAGAGGGUAUUUCUUGUCAUAGCUGAGGUGUUUGAUUUAGUUCUAGGAAGUCCUUAGGUUCCCUGCCUCGAGGCCCUAUUCUCCUGCCUCACAUAUACAUUUGUUUACAUAGAGGUGUCAAUAAAGACAACUACUCUUAAAUA